rnacentral:rRNA from 1 species
AUUGAACGCUGGCGGCAUGCUUUACACAUGCAAGUCGAACGGCAGCGCGGGCUUCGGCCUGGCGGCGAGUGGCGAACGGGUGAGUAAUGCAUCAGAACGUGCCCAGGAGGGGGGGAUAGCGCGGCGAAAGCCGGAUUAAUACCGCAUACGACCUGGGGGUGAAAGCGGGGGACCGAAAGGCCUCGCGCUAGUGGAGCGGCCGAUGUCGGAUUAGCGAGGUGGGGGGGUAAAGGCUUACCAAGGCGACGAUCCGGAGCUGGUGUGAGAGGGCGACCAGCCACACUGGGACUGAGACACGGCCCAGACUCCUACGGGAGGCAGCAGUGGGGAAUUUUGGACAAUGGGCGCAACCCUGAUCCAGCCAUGCCGCGUGCGGGAAGAAGGCCUUCGGGUUGUAGACCGCUUUUGUUCGGGAAGAAAUCCUCUGGGCUAAUACCCCGGGGGGAUGACGGUACCGGAAGAAUAAGCACCGGCUAACUACGUG